GGGGUAUGAAGUAACCGGUGACUAACAAGUCUAACCGCCAAAAUGAAUAAACAAUAAAGAUAAUGAUAUAAGCUGAAAAGUAACGGCCAGCGAAGCCUUACACACGAAAGAUUUACACGUCAAUAUAAAUGGAAACGUUAGAUCAAAAGGAAUUAAUGAAUGUCUUGAAAAACGAAACUAAGUUCCUUUAAUCCAAAUUAAAGAAACUAUGUAAAUAAGGUUUCGAGGACGAAACCUCUCUAAGGGGGGUAGACUUGUAACACCCCAAAAAUGGGUUUGGUAAUCAAACCGCGUUACUAGUAAUGACGGGUAAAAUACCUUUAGUGGUAAAAAUUAACCCGGUAAGUAUUAGGAAUUUAAAUAAAUAAACUUAAUAUUAACUGGAAAGAGGAUAAAUACUUUGAGAAGACAAAGUUUAUAAAAAGGGACCCGAGUUAACGGGACAUAAAAUAAACGGGUUACAACUCCCGGAACUAACUAAGUUAACUAGGAAUAAUCAACCUAGUUAAUUAAAAGUCUCAUAAUGGUAUGUGAGUGGGUUAAAAACACCUAAAGUAAGAACCUGACAAUAAUUGAGGGGCCAAAGGUGUUAAAAAGCAAACUAGUUUUUAAUUAAAACAAAAAAAAUAUAAUAACACACACUUGUGUGUAUGGAUCGAACAGAACCAGGAGGGGGCGACCAGGGGUUUCUCCACAAACCCUAAUUCUCACAAAAUCCUCCAAAUUGAAGCUCAAAUCAAGCCCGAAUCGUCUGCAUGAUUACAAAUUCGUGAUCUCCAUUGAAAGGGGAGUCAUAAGUUUGACUCUUGACGAGCUAGGUGAAGCUUGGAGGAGAAGAUCAAACGGGAUAAAGGCACGAGUAAGACUUGCUUGGAUGAAAGGGGCGAAUAGUAAUUUGGGUAAUUGCGUCGCCAUAAGAAUAUCGAUAAUGAAAGCAAGGAGUCAAAACGGGUCAUUAGGUUGACUCGAGCCAGGUGAAUGUCGAGAGUCCCGGAUGAAGAUCAAGCAUCGAACAAGAACCGAACACACGUUAAACAAAGCUUCCGCAACGUUGUUUUGUCGUUAUUCUAAACGGCGAAUUAAAUCACAUUAUGUAUAUCACUUAAAUUGUAAAAGUUUUUAACAACCGGUAUUUCUAAUGUAUAUGCAAUUAU
rnacentral:lncRNA from 1 species